rnacentral:rRNA from 1 species
UACGGAGGGGCUAGCGUUGUUCGGAAUUACUGGGCGUAAAGCGCACGUAGGCGGCUUUGUAAGUUAGAGGUGAAAGCCCGGGGCUCAACUCCGGAAUUGCCUUUAAAACUACAUCGCUAGAAUUGUGGAGAGGUAAGUGGAAUUCCGAGUGUAGAGGUGAAAUUCGUAGAUAUUGGGAAGAACACCGGUGGCGAAGGCGGCGACCUGGUCCUUGACUGACGGCUGAGGCGCGAAAGCGUGGGGAGCAAACAGG